rnacentral:rRNA from 1 species
AUGGUGAGGUAACGGCUCACCAUAGCAAUGAUGUCUAGGGGUUUGAGAGGAAGGCCCCCCACACUGGGACUGAGACACGGCCCAGACUCCUACGGGAGGCAGCAGUGAGGAAUAUUGGACAAUGGAUGGAAAUCUGAUCCAGCCAUGCCGCGUGCAGGAAGACGGCCUUAUGGGUUGUAAACUGCUUUUAUACGGGAGCAAUAAGGGUUACGAGUAAUCCGAUGAGAGUACUGUAUGAAUAAGGAUCGGCUAACUCCGUGCCAGCAGCCGCGGUAAUACGGAGGAUCCGAGCGUUAUCCGGAAUUAUUGGGUUUAAAGGGUGCGUAGGCGGCCAUUUAAGUCAGCGGUGAAAUUUUGCAGCUUAACUGUAACAGUGCCGUUGAUACUGUUUGGCUAGGAUUUGGUUGUAGUGUGCGGAAUGUGUGGUGUAGCGGUGAAAUGCUUAGAUAUCACACAGAACACCGAUUGCGAAGGCAGCACACUAAGUCAUUAUUGACGCUGAGGCACGAAAGUGUGGGGAUCAAACAGGAUUAGAUACCCUGGUAGUCCACACUGUAAACGAUGAUAACUCGCUGUCGGCGAUACACAGUCGGU